UUGCAGCGCGGGAUCGAUCCUGCGCUGCAACGAAAACCCGAGCGUGGCUGCGUAUGGCUCCGCUUUUACUUUCGAAGAUACAAGACCAGCAGGGGCUCCGGGCUGGUACCCGGACUACCAGCGUACAACUCUGAGGUGGCUUGCACGGUCGCUGUACACGGACCGCGUCAAUACGCCCCUGGUGUGAGCGCCGGUGGUGUCCCCUAACCGAGGGUGACCA
rfam:Pseudomonas rhizosphaerae strain DSM 16299, complete genome.